rnacentral:rRNA from 1 species
AGAUUGAACGCUGGCGGCAUGCCUAACACAUGCAAGUCGAACGGGAGUAGCAAUACUCUAGUGGCGGACGGGUGAGGAAUACGUAGGAAUUUGCCCUUAAGUGGGGGAUAACCCGGGGAAACCCGGAUUAAUACCGCAUGACCUCGAAAGAGCAAAGGUGGGGGAUCGCAAGACCUCACGCUUUUGGAGAAGCCUACGUCGGAUUAGCUAGUUGGUGAGGUAAUGGCUCACCAAGGCGACGAUCCGUAACUGGUCUGAGAGGAUGAUCAGUCACACCGGACUGAGACACGGUCCGGACUCCUACGGGAGCAGCGAGUGGGGAAUAUUGGACAAGUGGGCGCAAGCCUGACUCCAGCAAUCGCCGGCGUGUGGUAGAAGGAACGGUACCGUU